CAGGGAUAAUUUCCCUGUUCCUUAAUGCAGCUCCUUAGGAACGGUCACAAGCCCGUGAGAAUGCAGAGUGAGGA
rnacentral:ribozyme from 1 species